ACGAACGCUGGCGGCGUGCCUAACACAUGCAAGUCGAGCGAGGAGAUCCUCGGGAUGAUCCUAGCGGCGGACGGGUGAGUAACACGUGGGCAACCUGCCUCAUAGAGAGGAAUAGCCUUCCGAAAGGGAGAUUAAUACCUCAUAACAUUGCAGUUUCGCAUGAAACAGCAAUUAAAGGAGCAAUCCGCUAUGAGAUGGGCCCGCGGCGCAUUAGCUAGGUUGGUGAGGUAACGGCUCACCAAGGCGACGAUGCGUAGCCGACCUGAGAGGGUGAUCGGCCACAUUGGGACUGAGACACGGCCCAGACUCCUACGGGAGGCAGCAGUGGGGAAUAUUGCACAAUGGGGGAAACCCUGAUGCCAGCAACGCCGCGUGAGUGAUGACGGCCUUCGGGUUGUAAAGCUCUGUCUUCAGGGACGAUAAUGACGGUACCUGAGGAGGAAGCCACGGCUAACUACGUGCCAGCCGCCGC
rnacentral:rRNA from 1 species